UACAACAGGUGUAGUAGAACUCACAGUGAAAUGCUGAAUACAACAGGUGUAGUAGACCUCACAGUGAAAUGCUGAAUACAACAGGUGUAGUAGACCUCACAGUGAAAUGCUUACUUACAAGCCCUUAACCAACAAUGCAGUUUAGAAAAACACCUAAAAAUAUAAGAAAGAAAAGUAACAAAUAAUUAAAGAGCAGCAGUAAAAUAACAACAGCGAGGCUAUAUACAGGUAUAGGUACAGAGUCAAUGUGGAGGCUAUAUACAGGGGGUACUGGUACAGAGUCAAUGUGGAGACUAUAUACAGGGGGUACCGGUACAGAGUCAAUGUGGAGGCUAUAUACAGGGGGUACCGGUACAGAGUCAAUGUGGAGGCUAUAUACAGGGGGUACUGGUACAGAGUCAAUGUGGAGGCUAUAUACAGGGGGUAAAGGUACAGAGUCAAUGUGCGGGGUCACUGGUUAGUUGAGGUAAUUGAGGUAAUAUGUACAUGUAGGUAGAGUUAUGUAGGUAGAGUUGUAGGGACUUGUGCAUAGAUAAUAACAGCAGCGUAAAAAGGGGGGCAAUGCAAAUAGUCUGGGUAGCCAUUUAAUUAGAUGUAGAGGAGUCUUAUGUCUUG
rnacentral:lncRNA from 1 species